rnacentral:rRNA from 1 species
GGGUGCGAUCAUACUAGCACUAAUGCAUGGUAUCCCAUCAGAACUCCGCAUUAAAGCGUGCUUGGGCGAGAGUAGUACCAAGAUGGGUGACCCCCUGGGAAGUCAUCGUGUUACACCCC